rnacentral:rRNA from 1 species
UACAGAGGUCUCAAGCGUUGUUCGGAUUCAUUGGGCGUAAAGGGUGCGUAGGCGGCGCGGUAAGUCGGAUGUGAAAUCUCGGAGCUUAACUCCGAAACUGCAUUCGAUACUGCCGUGCUUGAGGACUGGAGAGGAGACUGGAAUUUACGGUGUAGCGGUGAAAUGCGUAGAUAUCGUAAGGAAGACCAGUGGCGAAGGCGAGUCUCUGGACAGUUACUGACGCUGAGGCACGAAGGCCAGGGGAGCAAACGGG